GCAUUCGUGGGUCAGUGAUAGAAUGCCCACCUUCCAUGCGCGAGACCUGGGCUCAAAUCCCAGCCAGUGCA
rnacentral:tRNA from 1 species